GUAGAAAAAUGGCCUUUUGUUACAAUUUUUUUUGCUACAAAGAAAAACUCGUUACAAAAGGUAUUUUUUACUACAAAAUACAUGUCGUAGCUAAAAGUCGUAGCAAAAGAAUAUAUAUCACUACGGCACAACAUUCGUAGCAAAUACUUAUGUGAAACGUCAUCGUUUUAUUCUUUUACUACGGAUUUUACCGUAGUAAUAGAGAUUAUUUGCUACGCUCGGUGUACGGUAAUAAAAGAUCUAAAUUUAAUAAAAUCGAAAUACCCUACCACUUAAACUGAGAAGCACAUAUCGUCGUCCCUCCCCUUCAUUUUCUUUCAAUUUCACUUUGUUCACCCACAAUCGUUGAUACCCUCACAAACUAACACUGGAAGCCAUCGUCAGCGAAUUACUUCAAGUCUAGCCACCGUCUAACGCCGAGCCACCGAAUGCCGCCUCCGCCGCCGCCGCCGCGAUCGAGAAGGUUGGUUGAAGAUUUAAGAAACAAAAGAUGCUAGCUUUUUCAGCCUAUUAAGAUUCAGAGUCGUACACUUAUUUUGCCACAGAAGGUGCCAAGAAAAUUGAGAACUACCUUACAAAUGCAAGGAGUAGAAGGAUGUGAAUAAUCUCUUUGCUUGCUAAUCGUCUACACUUUAAAGGGUCAUAUUAAGGAAGAAUAAAAGAGUUGAAAGACCAAAUUUUCAAGAAAGAUACGGGGAAAGAUAAUCACAAAAGUAUGAUUGUUAGGCAGAAACACCUAUGUGUGGUGUAUUCUUUGCACGUAAACGAGCAAGCUUGCCGCAAGAAGAUAGGGUGUUGUUGCGAAAGUUUAAAGACGAAACGAUGGAGGAAAAAAAAUGCAACAGAUGGAAGAAGAGUCUGUGAGUAGUUAGUCUUAGAGGAGAACAUGACAAUAUUAUCUCAAACUUAUGAUUUGUAUAAAUAUUCAUGGCUAGAUGUAAAUUUAAUGAUUUUAAGAUAUAGCGGGUUUUUUAUUUUUUGAUUAUUUAAUUAUAUAUGAUUUGGUAUUGAAUAUUCAGG